rnacentral:rRNA from 1 species
GACGAACGCUGGCGGCGUGCCUAAUACAUGCAAGUCGAACGCAGUGGGGACGGGUGAGUAACACGUGGGUAACCUCCCAUCAGAGGGGAUAAAACUUGGAAACAGGUGCUAAACCGGAACUGAUGGAAGAACCCGCGGUUCAUUAGCUAGUUGGUGAGGUAACGGCUCACCAAGGCAACAAUGCAUAGCCGACCUGGGGGUGUGAUCGUCCACACUGGGACUGAGACGCGGUCCAGCCUCCUACGGGAGGCAGCAGUAGGGAAUCUUGGGCAAUUGACGAAAGUCUGAUCGAGCAACGCCGCGUGAGUGAAGAAGUUUUUCGGAUUGUAAAACUCUGUUGUUAGAGAAGCGGUAUCUAACCAGAAAGCCACGGCUAACUACGUGCCAGCAGCCGCGGUAAUAC